GGCUCAGGAUGAACGCUAGCGGUGUGCUUAAAGCAUGCAAGUCGAACGUGAUCCCUUGGAUUCGUCUGAGGGUGAAAGUGGCGAACGGGUGAGUAACGCGUUGGUGAUCUGCCCCGGAGUGGGGAAUAACUAUUGGAAACGAUAGCUAAUACCCCAGAUGUCCUCGUUUUUGGAAAGCGAUGACUGAAGUUCAGGCGCUCCGGGAGGAGCCAGCGUCCCAUCAGCUAGUUGGUAAGGUAAUGGCUUACCAAGGCACAGACGGGUAGGGGGCGUGAGAGCGUGACCCCCCACACUGGUACUGACACACGGACCAGAUACCUACGGGUAGCAGCAGCUAGGAAUAUUGGACAAUGGGCGAAAGCCUGAUCCAGCAACACCGCGUGGAGGACGAAGGCCUUCGGGUCGUAAACUCCUUUUUGGGGGGAUGAGAAAGGACAGUACCCCCAGAAUAAGGCCCGGCUAACUACGUGCCAGCAGCCGCGGUAAUACGUAGGGGCCAAGCGUUAUCCGGAUUUACUGGGCGUAAAGCGCAUGUAGGCGGUUUAUUAAGUCGGACGUGAAAGCUCCUGGCUCAACUGGGAGAGGUCGUUCGAAACUAGUAGACUGGAGGAUGGUAGAGGAGAGCGGAAU
rnacentral:rRNA from 1 species